UGAAAUGAGAAGUAGGUAGCCUCGAA
rnacentral:piRNA from 1 species